rnacentral:rRNA from 1 species
GACGAACGCUGGCGGCGUGCUUAACACAUGCAAGUCGAACGGAAAGGCCCUGCUUUUGUGGGGUGCUCGAGUGGCGAACGGGUGAGUAACACGUGAGUAACCUGCCCUUGACUUUGGGAUAACUUCAGGAAACUGGGGCUAAUACCGGAUAGGAGCUCCUGCUGCAUGGUGGGGGUUGGAAAGUUUCGGCGGUUGGGGAGGGACUCGCGGCUUAUCAGCUUGUUGGUGGGGUAGUGGCUUACCAAGGCUUUGACGGGUAGCCGGCCUGAGAGGGUGACCGGCCACGUUGGGACUGAGAUAAGGCCCAGACUCCUACGGGAGGCAGCAGUGGGGAAUAUUGCACAAUGGGCGGAAGCCUGAUGCAGCAACGCCGCGUGCGGGAUGACGGCCUUCGGGUUGUAAACCGCUUUCGCCUGGGACGAAGCGUGAGUGACGGUAAUGGGUAAAGAAGCACCGGCUAACUACGUG